AACAUGGUCUGGCCCACGUUAAAUCCGUGCCUCCAGUUAUGGUAGGUGAUAUCUCUGUAACCUUUUCUGGAAUGAUGCUGAAAAUUCAGC